rnacentral:rRNA from 1 species
UCCGUAGGGGGCAAGCGUUGUCCGGAUUUAUUGGGCGUAAAGAGCGUGUAGGCGGCCAGGUAGGUCCGCUGUGAAAACUCGAGGCUCAACCUCGAGACGCCGGUGGAAACCAUCAGACUAGAGUCCGGAAGAGGAGAGUGGAAUUCCUGGUGUAGCGGUGAAAUGCGCAGAUAUCAGGAAGAACACCCGUGGCUAAGGCGGCUCUCUAGUACGGUACUGACGCUGAGACGCGAAAGCGUGGGGAGCGAACAGG